UUGAGUUCUAGUGUCAUUAAAAUUUUCAAUCACAAUCAUUUAACCUACUUCGGAAGAUGAUGGGGAGUAGGGAUGGUACGCCAGAAGGGCAGGCGAUGGCUGUUAGCUCGUCACUGCCUCGUGUUUCGGUGAAGAAUCGUCUAGGUCCUUCUAAAAGUGUUCACGAGAGCACGGCCUCUAAGCAUAAUUCAGGAGAUCUCCGUCCGAAGAUUCAUGGCUGGGCCAGACGAAGAUUGGUUUUCGGUGCGGAUAGGGAGCGAGAUCAUGGUCGAGGGCAAGUGGAAGGC
rnacentral:lncRNA from 1 species